rnacentral:rRNA from 1 species
UACGAGGGGGGCAAGCGUUGUUCGGAAUUAUUGGGCGUAAAGGGUGCGUAGGCGGUGCGGUAAGUCUGUUGUGAAAUCUCCGGGCUCAACUCGGAGUCUGCAUCAGAAACUGCCGUGCUGGAGUGUGGGAGAGUGAGUGGAAUCCCGGUGUAGCGGUGAAAUGCGUAGAGAUCGGGAGGAACACCUGCGGCGAAAGCGGCUCACUGGACCAUAACUGACGCUGAUGCACGAAAGCUAGGGGAGCAAACAGG